rnacentral:misc_RNA from 1 species
GAUUACUUAAACAAGAUAGGUGCUAGAAUUCCGAGUAUAAAGCCUGGAAAAGCCACAAUUGCAUAUUUGACAAAGAUUCAAGCUUCAACGCGAUUCUGGGGUGGUCUGUUAUUAAGUGUUUUGGCGACUACAUCCUCCAUUCUAGACCAUUAUUUGCGGCGCAUCAAUGAAGGAUAUGCAAUAGGAUUGACAUCAGUGCUAAUAAUUGUAGGUUCAAUUAUUGAAUUGAGAAGAUCUUAUCAAGCAUAUAAUGUAAUGCCAAGUCUAAGUAUGGCUUUGAAGCGUUAUGGUGUAUGAGAUUGGAGUGUGGCUCUAUUCGAGUAAAUGGGAUUCAGUUCUUGCUUGCAUCAUUGGUUCUGAGAAUAUAUUGCAUAGUCUAGGAUGUUCUUGAGCGAAAACUUAACUGCCAGUCAACUUUUAAAACUUGGAAGAUCGAAGAUAUCACAAUCAGUCAACUCUUCUCGGUGAAGACACAUUUUCCAUAUGUAGCAAGCAAUAACCCAUCCUUUGGCUGACAACACAAUUCAUCUGCUUCCUGAAAUUGUGUUUCCAGGAUACAGGAUAACUAGCAUGAAAUAGCUGAAUUUAGACAAAGGCAAGCAUGACACGGAGGGUUUAUCGAUUUGUUUACAGGGCAUCAUCAUUUGUCUUUCUUACGUUCCAAUGUUGCCACAAACUGAUGAAGUGAUGUCUGAGCGUUAAUAGAGUUCAAGAUACCUGCAGAAUACGCGUGUUCACCUUGUAUAUAAUUACAUUUUUUUUUGACAAUACUGUAGAUGGCCAAGUUAUGGCAUGAAGCAAGUCUAUUCUUCUCUUGGCAUGCAAAACAGGAUGUGAUUUUGCUAUAUUUUUGAGGGGUAUGUUUACAGUCUGCUUGUGUUUGUUGAAACGUGUACAUCAGUGUGAGGUUUUAACCAUAUUUACGCGCUGAGCACUAGUCUGUACGAAAAAUGUUCCUUUCUUUUCUCUCU